GAUUUCGGUUAAUUACUGGUGUUUUUACAUCAGAGGAAAGUCCGUCCUCGCACAGCCUGAGAUGGCUGUAGUGUUUGUGUUCUAAGAAACUAGAAGAAUUCUCUUUCAGAGAAUUACGACCAGUGCCACAGAGACGAGAAAUGUGAAACGCGGUAAACUCCACAAGCGAGAAACGCAAAUUUUGGUAGCGGCAUCCGAAAAAGAGAAAUGAAUCUAAAUCGGAAUUCAAUAAUUUUUAUUGAAUAGAUAAAUAAUUAACAAAACAGAAGGCGGCUUAUGAA
rnacentral:RNase_P_RNA from 1 species